GAAGACACACCAUCUCCUAUUCUCUCAUUCCAGAUCCUAAUAUUUCGGAUCGGCAAUGUCACCGAUGAGAGGAGCGGCACCGGCGAGCCAUGGCGACGGGUAAUUGGCAUCAGCGAGACAAGAUGCCGACAAUGGUGCCCUACAUCCAGCGGUAACCUUGACGACGGCAUGCACGACCAAGCAGCGGAAGUAGCAUCCACGAGGAGGCCGAUUCACAACGGCGUGAGCAAACUGUCAUCCAUGUCGAUGCUGACAAUGAGAUGGUCGGCGAUGAGGCUCCACCGUACAAGGAGGUCAGGCAUGAGGGAGGACUGCAUCCACUGGGAUCUACACUGUGACUGA
rnacentral:lncRNA from 1 species